UAGUGACAGUUGUUUUAUAAGAAUAACAACUUUUUGCUAUUGGAGGAGUAAUAUGCACUCACGGCAGACAACUUGGAAGAUUCAGAAAUAUCACAAGUGAAAAGAACCUGAGGACGUCCCUCCUGACUCCCCACGCCUGGGGCCGACCUGCACGCCCUCCGAGCCACAUUACCCACGCAGCCUUGCUGGCGAUUGCGCUGAGCAGCACCUACCUGGUAUACAGCUGCUUGAGCAUCCGUCUGUCUUUCUGUCUUCUCUUCCGGAGAGUAUGAGUCCUGGAGAGCUGGAGCCCAAUCCGUCCUCCCUCCCCUAGGCCUGGGCACCCUACCUGGCACUUGCCUGGUGCUCUGUGAACUGAAUGGGAAAAGGAAAACAGACCAAGUCACCUGGAAAGCAGGCAUGGGACGAGGAAAGAUCACUGGUCUUGGAAUCCAAAAGCAAAGGGCGGCAUCGUGGCA